rnacentral:rRNA from 1 species
UACAGAGGUCUCAAGCGUUGUUCGGAUUCAUUGGGCGUAAAGGGUGCGUAGGCGGCGCGGUAAGUCACCUGUGAAAUCUCCUGGCUCAACUGGGAGCUUGCAGGCGAAACUGCCGUGCUGGAGUGUGGGAGAGGUGCGUGGAAUUCCUGGUGUAGCGGUGAAAUGCGUAGAUAUCAGGAGGAACACCUGUGGCGAAAGCGGCGCACUGGACCACAACUGACGCUGAGGCGCGAAAGCUAGGGGAGCAAACAGG